UAUUAUGCAAGAUGCGUCAUACGAUAUAAAGUCAGCUUCACUUGAUUCAGUAUCACACAAAAGCUUUGCUUAUAUCACAACCAUAGGUGAGGUGGAUUUGAAUUGCUUCAGCGUUCAAGUCACUGCUUAGGCGGAGGUCCCGGAAUUGGAAUCAAGAUUUGACCAUCAGAACAGAAGCGAGUUUCAAAGAUCAAAGGUGUGGCUUUUGAGGUAAGAAACUGGUAGAGAAAUGGAGGGAGGAGGGAAAGGGGAGAGCAAGAAGGUGAUGGUGGUCAUCGACGAGAGCGAUUCCAGUUACCAUGCCCUUAUGUGGGUGCUCAACAAUCUCAAGGAAUCGAUCACGAGUUCUUCGCUGGUGCUUUUCGCCUCGCAGCCACCGCCGACCUGUAGUUUUGGGUUCGGAGCUCCAUUCAGUUUGGCUUGCCUAUAUUUUCAAGGCUUGGCAGCCCCGGAGGUCUUUAGCAUGGCACAAGAACGAAGUAAGAAGAUUUGCUUGGGAAUCUUGAAGAAAGCCGAGGGCAUCUGCGCGAGUCGAGGGGUGAAAGUGGAGACACUCACAGAGGCCGGAGAUCCUAGAGUUACCAUAUGCAAUGCAGUGCACAAGAACAACAUCAAUCUUCUUAUACUGGGGCAUGAAUCUCAUGGAAUCCUCAAGAGUCGGUCAUUGCAGGGUUUUCUUGGGGACUCUGAGCGAUUACCAAUUGAAUAAUGUGAAGUGCCCGAUACUUGUGGUGAAGAGACCAGAAUAAUCGUUCCAAAACUGCUUAUAUCGGUUUCUGUCAGCUAUAUGACGACCGAAUUGUAUGUAUUUAUGUCCUCACUGUGUAAGAAUUAUCAGAUUAUCUCAUCUGAGCUAAAUCUAUCAGGUCUGUAAAUUCAUAUUCAGAAUUGUCUAUAACUAAUCACCGUUCAAAAGAAUCCAAGUGCGAGAACCCCAGUCA